UGGCGAGAAGGUCACACCCGUUCCCAUACCGAACACGGAAGUUAAGCUUCUCAGCGCCGAUGGUAGUUGGGACUUUGUCCCUGUGAGAGUAGGACAUUGCCAGGC
rnacentral:rRNA from 1 species